CCUUUAUUUCUCUCUCAUCCUGUUAUUUCCAGAUCUGAAACCCAAAAAAUUCUACCCCCUUGAAAAUCGAUCUUGUGCUUUCCUUCAUCAUCUCCAUAACCAGCAACCUAUUUAAAUUCGUCCAUUUUCUUUGAAAUAUUAAGCUCUACGAAAAUGGUUUGGUUCCGCCACGAAGAAGGAGAAAUCUCAGUAAAUCUCGAUUUCCGGCAGGUCAUAUUCUGCGUUUUCGAUCCGAUAAUAUGGGUCUAAUAUUUCUAGGGUUUAUCUCUCUAAUAUUAUUUUCCUCAAUCUCACGAUCCACAGUCACUCACACAAUCAAAAGAUCUACAACUAUGGCGAAACCAAGAAACACAAGCAGAUCUGUACUGUCAACAACCUAUGGCAGAAAGCGAUUGCAGUGAUGAUUAAGCUACACAAUUAUAGCUCCUUUCAAGGGGUGUUAUAUUGCAAGCCUCACUUUGAUUAGCUUUUCAAGAUGACAGACAGUUUGGAUAAACCCUUUUCUCUCGCAUAUUCUCUUUCCCAGGUCUUCAUUGUUGAAAAUCCAAAACCUGUCUCUCCUUAAAAAAAAUCAGUAUUGAGCUUUCCCUUCAAAGCCUUCUUUCACCAUACCAUCCCAAUCUCUCCAUUUUCUUUGAAAACUCAAGCUAUGCUAAUUUGGUAUUUAGAGGCAAAACCCUAGGUUCCAGCGGCGCGACGAAGAGUAGCAAAAUUUGAGGAGCUGAUUCUAUCUCCUCUUCUCGCUCUUCCUUUCACUUGUUCAAAUUUCUGAUUUCUAGAGGCUAAAGUUCGACGAUUCUUGGAAAAAUCAAAGAAAAACACCUGCAGAUAAUUGAUGAGGAUGAUGCAGCAAAGGCUUGCAAAGAAAAAAUCACUUUGAUGAAGAAGCAAAAAUUUGUCACUUAAGAUCUAGCAACAAUGAAAUUUUGCAACCUCCCAAGCAAAUUCGUUGGUAUAUCUCUAAUCUCUUUUGUCAUUUUUUUUGCAGCCUCCCAAGCAAAUUUGAUGGAUUUAAUUUUCUGGUUUUAUGAAUAUUUAAAAAUUCUGAUGUAUUUAUUUUGCUGGGUAUGAUGGCAUUCUAGUCUGAUAUGGGGUUUGAAUUCUUUGGUCAAAUAUAGAUUUUCUGGGUUUGAUUUGAUAUUCUGUGGUUCUGGGUUGUGUGUUUGAACCUGUGAUUUAUGAUUUUCAUUAUUAUCGCAACAUUACCCAAUAGGGAAGCCUGAAUCUCAAGUAUAAACUGCAAUAGAUCAGAAACAUGUCAAACCAAUGUUUUAUCCAAAAUAACAUUGUUCGUUUAUGAUAUUUGACCAUUUUGUUUUAGAUAUCAUUGUUCCUUUAUGAUAUUUGACAAUUUUCAUUUAGCCAACUCUAUGAUCUUAUUUUAUUAGCACAUGUGGUUAAUGAUCAAUAAGCAUAAUGAAUAGGAAUUAUGUUUUAUUCGGCUAUAUAAGCUUAUCUCUUUUUAUGAGAACCAUUGGGAUUCGAUUUUGGUGGAAUGGCUAGGCUUUCUUAAACAAUAUGCUUUCAGAUUUGCUCUUGAACUAAGUUUAAAAAGCUAGUCGAAGUCUCGUUAUUUGAUCAAUUGAGAAUUUAAAAGUGGAGAAUAGAUGAGCAGAAUGUACCAACUGAAUCGGUUGCAUGGUUCAUGUUCUUUAAUCAAGCUGAAUGAAAUUGAUAUAUUGUUCUUUGUUGUAUUUCUAAUAACAAGUUGUGUCAUUAUGUUAGUUACUCAGUGAAAAAUCUAAUCACACCCGAAUACCCGAUGAUAAGAGAAAUGGUUGAACUCUAGAUGCUGCAACAUGCUGUCACAUUGUUAUGUGUUUUCUUGUUUACAUCUUUGUAUAGGAUUGAGUAUGUUUUUUGCUGCUCAGGUUCUUGAAUACUUCGUAUAUAGUUGAGCUUUGCAGUAAUUAUUUUCAGGCAUUUUGAAAACAGGGGAAGGAAGAUUGCAUAGUAUUCUGUUUUAGAACUGUGAGCUAAUUCCUUAAGUUGUGAAAUCUUGUUGUUUGUCUCUUGUUGUUUAGCACUUGGACUAUCUAGCUUUCGGUUUAUAAAUUCAAUUUACCAAAAUAAUAUUUAUUGGCUUUAGUUUGGCCCAUAUGUACCUUCGGUUCUACUGUUUUCAUGUCUACACUUGUUUAUUCAUGAGUUCAUAUAAUCAACAAGCAUAGAAAAUAAAAGUGACUAUAUUGUUCACUUGAGUAGCUUGCGUAGGUGAGGAACUGUGAUAUGCUAAUUUUAGAUAACCGAAACUCGUCUAGUGGGUUGAAGUUUUGCUCUCACAUAUCUUAUAUUCUUAAUGUCUAAGCUGCUGAAACUGAGAACGCAGAUUUCAUGCUCUUGUAUUAGAUGGAACCGCUUUGCUAGUGGCUGAUUUCGUGAAGGUUGGUUUUCUACUUACGAUCUGUACACCAAAACCAAUUUGACUGACAUACUAAAUGCACUUUUCUCAUCACUUGCUACGCCUUGGCCAUGAUUGUUGGGACGUUGCUCGAUACUACACUAGAAGCAAGGGAAACACUAAAAGAUUCUCGGCAGCAACUAUUUUUAUUUUUAUUUUUUUUGUUGGGUGUCAAGAGAAACCGUUAGAUGGAAUACAUUGUUGUAGAUAUUUCAAGCUUUUGUAUUGUAAGAUUUAUUAAGGUACAGCCUUUACGUAUUUAGUCUUAUUAAUUUGAUGUGGUUCUAUUUAAUAAUAUGAGUUGUCCAUUUUACUAUACAA